rnacentral:rRNA from 1 species
GAUGAACGCUGGCGGCGUGCCUAAUACAUGCAAGUCGAGCGAACGGACGAGAAGCUUUCUUCUCUGAUGUUAUCGGCGGACGGGUGAGUAACACGUGGAUAACCUACCUAUAACACUGUGAUAACUUCGCGAAACCGGAGCUAAUACCGGAUAAUAUUUUGAACCUCAUGGUUCAAAAGUGAAAGACGGUCUUUCUGUCACUUAUAGAGGGAUCCGCGCUGCAUUAGCUAGUUGGUAAGGUAACGGCUUACCAAGGCAACGCUGCAUAGCCGACCUGGGAGGGUGAUCAGCCACACUGGAACUGAGACAAGGUCCAGACUAAUCCGGGAGGCAGCAGUGGGGAAUCUUCCGCAAUGGGCGAAAGCCUGACGGGGCAACGCCGCGUGAGUGAUGAAGGUCUUGGGAUCGUAAAACUCUGUUAUUAGGGAAGAACAUAUGUGUAAGUAACUGUGCACAUCUUGACGGUACCUAAUCAGAAAGCCACGGCUAACUACGUG